GCCGAAGGAUCGGCCCGCGUCUGAUUAGCUGGUUGGUGAGGUUACGGCUCACCAAGGCGACGAUCAGUAGCUGGUCUGAGAGGAUGAUCAGCCACACUGGGACUGAGACACGGCCCAGACUCCUACGGGAGGCAGCAGUGGGGAAUAUUGGACAAUGGGGGCAACCCUGAUCCAGCCAUGCCGCGUGAGUGAUGACGGCCUUAGGGUUGUAAAGCUCUUUUCUCCGGGACGAUAAUGACGGUACCGGAGGAAUAAGCCCCGGCUAACUUCGUGCCAGCAGCCGCGGUAAUACGAAGGGGGCUAGCGUUGCUCGGAAUCACUGGGCGUAAAGGGCGCGUAGGCGGCUGAUUUAGUCGAGGGUGAAAGCCCGUGGCUCAACCACGGAAUGGCCUUCGAUACUGAUUGGCUUGAGACCGGAAGAGGACAGCGGAACUGCGAGUGUAGAGGUGAAAUUCGU
rnacentral:rRNA from 1 species